AUCAUUUUCUUAGGUGAAGCUAUGGUUAUCAAAUGAUUAACCUUCAGGAUCCCAGUCCACGAAUGUCAUGGAAUUUAUUAAAUUCCCAAUUAAGUCCCGUAUACACGAAUGUCAUGGAAUUGUAAAACAUUCCCCAAAUCCCAAUUCCACGAAUGUCAUGGAAUUUUGAAAUUUGGUCAUGUGUCCCAGAUACACGGAUGUCAUGGACAUUCGAAAAAAUCCCUUGAGUCCCGUAUACACAAUUAUGUGUAUUCUCAAAAAAUAAAUAAAUUUAGCGACUAUGGAAAUUGAAGGGUUUCGGAGCUAACUUUGCCUUUUAGUCCGAGUCAGGGCUUAUGCAACCAUCCGUCUGUCCGUCCAGUCUCACUAUAACUCUCGUUAAACUGGUCCUAUCGACUUGAAAUUUGGUACACGUGUAGUAUGGGGCAAAUGAAGAGUUAACUUCGAAGAUGAGAAAAAUCGGUCAAGAGGUUGACAAGUGGGGUCGGGUCAUAGAAAUGGUCAUAGAAAGCUUAUAUUCGGGACAUUUGUGUACUAAAAUCAAAAUACAAUGUCAUAACGACGAUAUUAUUAUUCAGAGUGACCCAAUAUGGUCGCACUCUCUGAUUUUCGAAAAUGGUCGUAAACGACUAAAAUUUGACGUGAUCCUAUUUUCUCUCGUCGAGUAGUAAUUAAUUACAUACCCAAGUAAUUAUGCAAUAUUACAAUGCAGGGACUGCAUUAUACAUAUAAUAUGCAUGCAAUAGUACAAUUUCAUAUAAUCGGAUCCGAUCCGAUCCGAUCCGAAAGCCGACCAGCAAUCCUAGUCGGAUCGGAUUGAGUGUCUGAUCCGAAUCGGAUUGAUCCGAACACCUGCUCAAUCCGACUCGGAUCAAUCCGAAGGCCUCAUAAUCCGAUCCGAUCCGACGGAUUGCCAUUCCUAGAGAUGGUAUAACCAAAUUCGAAGCUCAUUUAAGCAAUUUAUAUUUAUUCUCUGUAUGCCUCAAGUAUCAUGUGUACCUGCUAACAAUGCGAUGGUGUGAAGUGCAACUCUCAGAUGGACCAUGGACCAUUUUUUUGAUGGACCAUGGACCAUUUUUUUGAUGGACCAUUGAUGGACCAUGGAGCAUUUUUUUGAUGGACCAUGGACCAUUUUUUUGAUGGACCAUUGAUGGACCAUGGAGCAUUUUUUUGAUGGACCAUGGACCAUUUUUUUGAUGGACCAUCGAUGGACCAUGGACCAGGGACCAAUUUUUUGAUGGACCAUGUAGUGAUCGACCAUGGACCAUGGACCAAUUUAUUGCGAGCUAUCCUUUGUAGCUUUACAUUUGAGCAAUAUGAAAUCCACAAUUUCUGGUUUUUCUCUAGUGUAAGGCCGGGUGCCUGACGGCGCCCCUCCCAGCUUUGCGCCCUAGGCAGGUGCCUAGGCUGCCUGACCCUUAAACGGGCCCUGUUCACACACACAGUUAUGCAUGUACUAGUGCAAUGAUGAAAAAAAAAAAAAUUUUUAAUUUCAAUAUUAUCCAUGUAUAUAUUUCUUUAAUUUUCACAAACAUUAAGGUCUAAAGAUUGUUUAAUACAAAUGUAGAGAUUUUCCAAACAUAUUUGUUAUGCCUAACCAAGUCUAAAGAGUUUGUGAAACUCGCUGAGAUUUGUAAUAAAUCAACUUGUUAAACGA